rnacentral:rRNA from 1 species
GCGGUAAUUCAAGCUCCAAUAGCGUAUAUGUAAAUUGUUGCGGUUGAAAAGCUCGUAGUUGGACUUCUGGCGACCGCGUUCGGUCCGCCAAGCGCGUGCACUGUCCGCGGUCGUCGUUUCUGUCGACGUGGCGCGUCGGCCUUAGUUGGUCGGUGCGUCGUCUGUCGGCGAUGUUACUUUGAGGAAAUCAGAGUGCUCAAGGCAAGCGUUCGCUCGUGACUUCACUAGCAUGGAAUAACACAGAUGGGCUCUUUCUCGCACUGUUGGUCUGCGUCAAUUGAGCAACGAUCGAUAGAGACGGUCGGGGGCAUUCGUAUUGCGCAGUUAGAGGUGAAAUUCUCCGAUCUGCGCAAGACGCACUAAUGCGAAAGCAGUUGCCAAGGACGUCCUCUUAUGAUCAAGAGCGAAAGUCGGGGGAUCAAAGAUGAUUAGAUACCGUCGUAGUCCCGACCAUAAAUGAUGCCGACUGAGCUUCGGCGACUCGACCUCAGGUCGUACGUCGGCGCUCUUAGAGAAAUUAAAGUCUUUGGGCUCCGGGGGUAGUAUGGUCGCAAGUCUGAAACUUGAAGGAAUUGACGGAAGGGCACCACAAGGCGUGGAUGUUGCGGCUUAAUUUGACUCAACACGGGAAAGCUUACUAGGUUUGGACACCUUUGUGAUGGACAGAUUGAAGCUCUUACCCUACUGCGUGGAUGGUGGUGCAUGGUCGUUCUCAGCCCGUGGGUUGACCUGUCAGGUUUACUCCGGUAACGCGCGAGACCUCGGUCUGCUAAAUAGACGCGGCUGUUCCGGCACCCGCGCUCUUCUUAGAGAGAGACUCGACGAGAGUCGAGGGAAGUCGAGGCAAUAACAGAUCUGUGAUGCCCUUAGUUAUCCUAGGUCGCACGCGCCAUACAAUGUGGYGCACAACGAGUCUCCUUGGCCGACAGGAUCUGGGCAAUCUGGCAGAGCGCUACGUGACUGGGCUAGACUUUUGUAAUUUUUGGUCUUGAACGAGGAAUGCCUAGUAAUCGCAGGUCAGCAUCCUGCGAUGAUUCGGUCCCUGCCCUUUGUACACACCGCCCGUCGCUCCAUCCGUGGCAUGCGCCGGUGAAGAGGGGGAGGCAGCGUCGGCCGGGUAACACCGGAUCGUACGUGGAACCCCUCUGAACCUUCGCACGUAGAGGAAGGAGAAGUCGUAACAAGGUUUUCGUAGGUGAACCUGCGAAAGGAUCAUUAUCGGCAC